rnacentral:rRNA from 1 species
UACAGAGGUCUCAAGCGUUGUUCGGAUUCAUUGGGCGUAAAGGGUGCGUAGGUGGUGAUGCAAGUCUGGUGUGAAAUCUCGGAGCUCAACUCCGAAAUUGCACCGGAUGCUGCGUGACUCGAGGACUGUAGAGGAGAUCGGAAUUCACGGUGUAGCAGUGAAAUGCGUAGAUAUCGUGAGGAAGACCAGUUGCGAAGGCGGAUCUCUGGGCAGUUCCUGACACUGAGGCACGAAGGCCAGGGGAGCAAACGGG